ACCCUGAGUAGAAGAGGAAGAGGAAGGUCCUGUAGUUUCAUAAGACACAGCGUGAGACUGGGCAAGUCAGUGUGUCACCGUGCAUGGAGCUUUGCUGCCCAGUCUCUGGACUCGUUCACCAUCAGUCUCUUCCCACAAGAGAAUGUACAAAAUGAGGCCCAGGUUUCUCUGCAACAGUUUGCCUGCAGGUUUGAUGUUGGGUUUCUUUGUUUUCCUGCUUCAACCAGUUUCCACACAGAAAAUCAGAAAUCAGAUUUAUUUCUUGGAUAAUGAAGGCGACAUUGUGUUAAACGGACCGGACAAUCCUGGGAGUGACACUGUUGUCUGGGAAUGGGA